rnacentral:tRNA from 1 species
UCGAGAAAGACAUAAUGGCUAUGACAUUGGCUUGAAACCAGUUUUAGGGGGUUCGAUUCCUUCCUUUCUUAUUUAC